rnacentral:rRNA from 1 species
ACACUGAACAUUGAGCCUUGAUGUGUAGGAUAGGUGGGAGGCUUAGAAGUGUGGACGCCAGUCUGCAUGGAGCCGACCUUGAAAUACCACCCUUUAAUGUUUGAUGUUCUAACGUUGACCCGUAAUCCGGGUUGCGGACAGUGUCUGGUGGGUAGUUUGACUGGGGCGGUCUCCUCCUAAAGAGUAACGGAGGAGCACGAAGGUUGGCUAAUCCUGGUCGGACAUCAGGAGGUUAGUGCAAUGGCAUAAGCCAGCUUGACUGCGAGCGUGACGGCGCGAGCAGGUGCGAAAGCAGGUCAUAGUGAUCCGGUGGUUCUGAAUGGAAGGGCCAUCGCUCAACGGAUAAAAGGUACUCCGGGGAUAACAGGCUGAUACCGCCCAAGAGUUCAUAUCGACGGCGGUGUUUGGCACCUCGAUGUCGGCUCAUCACAUCCUGGGGCUGAAGUAGGUCCCAAGGGUAUGGCUGUUCGCCAUUUAAAGUGGUACGCGAGCUGGGUUUAGAACGUCGUGAGACAGUUCGGUCCCUAUCUGCCGUGGGCGCUGGAGAACUGAGGGGGGCUGCUCCUAGUACGAGAGGACCGGAGUGGACGCAUCACUGGUGUUCGGGUUGUCAUGCCAAUGGCACUGCCCGGUAGCUAAAUGCGGAAGAGAUAAGUGCUGAAAGCAUCUAAGCACGAAACUUGCCCCGAGAUGAGUUCUCCCUGACUCCUUGAGAGUCCUGAAGGAACGUUGAAGACGACGA